rnacentral:rRNA from 1 species
UACGGAGGGGGCUAGCGUUGUUCGGAAUUACUGGGCGUAAAGCGCACGUAGGCGGCUUUGUAAGUUAGAGGUGAAAGCCCAGGGCUUAACCCCGGAAUUGCCUUUGAGACUGCAUCGCUAGAAUUGUGGAGAGGUAAGUGGAAUUCCGAGUGUAGAGGUGAAAUUCGUAGAUAUUCGGAAGAACACCAGUGGCGAAGGCGACUUACUGGACACAUAUUGACGCUGAGGUGCGAAAGCGUGGGGAGCAAACAGG